rnacentral:rRNA from 1 species
UACGGAGGGUGCAAGCGUUUAAUCGGAAUUACUGGGCGUAAAGCGUGCGUAGGCGGUGUGUCAAGUCAGGCGUGAAAGCCCCCGGGCUCAACCUGGGAACCGCGCUUGAGACUGGCACGCUAGAGUUCGGGAGAGGAUGGUGGAAUUCCCAGUGUAGAGGUGAAAUUCGUAGAUAUUGGGAAGAACACCGAUGGCGAAGGCAGCCAUCUGGACCGACACUGACGCUGAGGCGCGAAAGCGUGGGGAGCAAACAGG